rnacentral:rRNA from 1 species
UGGGGAAUAUUGCACAAUGGGGGAAACCCUGAUGCAGCGACGCCGCGUGAGCGAAGAAGGCUUUCGAGUCGUAAAGCUCUGUCCUAUGAGAAGAUAAUGACGGUAUCAUAGGAGGAAGCCCUGGCUAAAUACGUGCCAGCAGCCGCGGUAAUACGUAUGGGGCGAGCGUUGUCCGGAAUUAUUGGGCGUAAAGGGUACGUAGGCGGUUUUUUAAGUCAGGUGUCAAAGCGUGGAGCUUAACUCCAUUAAGCACUUGAAACUGAAAGACUUGAGUGAAGGAGAGGAAAGUGGAAUUCCUAGUGUAGCGGUGAAAUGCGUAGAUAUUAGGAGGAAUACCGGUGGCGAAGGCGACUUUCUGGACUUUUACUGACGCUCAAGUACGAAAGCGUGGGGAGCAAACAGG